GACGUAGGGUCCAAGCGUUGUCCGGAUUUACUGGGCGUAAAGAGCGCGUAGGCGGUCUGUUAAGUGUGAAGUGAAAUCUCUAGGGCUCAACCCAGAAACUGCUUUACAUACUGGCAGACUUGAGUGAUGAAGAGGUUUGUGGAAUUCCUGGUGUAGCGGUGGAAUGCGUAGAGAUCCGGAAGAACACCGGUGGCGAAGGCGGUUAGCUGGGACA
rnacentral:rRNA from 1 species